rnacentral:rRNA from 1 species
GACGAACGCUGGCGGCGUGCUUAACACAUGCAAGUCGAACGGUGAUGAUCAAGCUUGCUUGGUCUGAUCAGUGGCGAACGGGUGAGUAACACGUGAGCAACCUGCCCCAGACUCUGGGAUAACCCCGGGAAACCGGAGCUAAUACCGGAUAUGACACUCGCACGCAUGUGCUGGGUGUGGAAAGUUUUUCGGUCUGGGAUGGGCUCGCGGCCUAUCAGCUUGUUGGUGAGGUAGUGGCUCACCAAGGCGACGACGGGUAGCCGACCUGAGAGGGCGACCGGCCACACUGGGACUGAGACACGGCCCAGACUCCUACGGGAGGCAGCAGUGGGGAAUAUUGCACAAUGGGCGAAAGCCUGAUGCAGCGACGCCGCGUGAGGGAUGACGGCCUUCGGGUUGUAAACCUCUUUCAGCAGGGAAGAAGCGCAAGUGACGGUACCUGCAGAAGAAGCACCGGCUAACUACGUGCCAGCCGCCGCGGUAACAC